CCAUUCAACAAUGAAGCUGCACGUAAAAAGAUGUUCCCGGAUAUGCUGCAGCCUGUCAAUGUCUAAACUGAUGUGUUUUUUUCAAAGACACCAACCAGGGGCCAGUGGUUGGUGAUGACGUGAAACAUGGAGAGGCCUUGGAGAAAGAAAUCGUACUUGAUGAUUGCUAAUAGUAUUGCAGUUGCCUCAAGCUCAAGUGGAACCUGGCAGUACUCAUGAAUGGCAUCCAACUUGAUGCAGAAACGGGAGUCCUUGUUUACCUGACGGGUGAGAUCUUGAGCAGACGAGAAGGGGUGAACGGGUCUGUGAACGGCUUUGUUCAAAGCACGGUAGUCUGUGACAAAUCCCACUUUCUUCCCGGCAGGUUUAGGCAACAAGUGAGCCAGAGAGCGCCAAGUGGUUGGUUUGUCAACCUUUACAAUCAUGCCCGCCCCAAUGAGUUCGUUAAAGAGAACAUUGGCCUGCUCAGAGAGAUGUAGUUGUACUGGUCUGGCAACCUUUCAGAGUUCCAGACGUGUGGCUGAAAGAUGAUUUCAUAAUGUCACUAUAUUCUUUGGUGAUGGCAGCAAUUACCGCACUACCCCAUUGCAAGGUCACUCCGUUGACUUGGGCAAGGACAUCAACAAGUUCAUGAUGUCCUUCUUGGUCGUCUUUGACCCCGAAAAUGUUACCAACACCGCCCUCAUCAACAAUCUCGAAGUCUGAACAGCCCCCAGCAAGUCUCAAAAAAUUGUUGUCAUCAUCAUCACCACCUUUGCAAAGCCUAGCGCUCCUCAUUGCAAUUGGAGACGGGAAAUUUGAUGGCAAAAUUUGAAGCGCCAUCAAAUCCCACCAGCCUAUCAACGGAAGGCCAUCAAGAUCUGGGGAGACAAUGGUGCGAGUAAGUACUUGUGGGCUAUUCUCAGUGGUUCAAAGAAUGUUAAAGCACCAGCAUUUCUGAGAGUUGAGUCAUUGGCAGCAAGCAAACGCGUCGAAGAAGGCUUCAAUUCAACGUCUGAAGGAAGAGCAGUAGCAGGUGUUGCCGAGUCGGCAGCAACAAAUCGGGCAUUUGCUACAGAAGGGCUCUUUGAAGAUUGUCUCGAAAUUCUGGGAAAAAGGGGGCGCCGGGUCAGAGAUCGUCCCCGUUCAUACUCAGCCAAUGGACCACGAAGAAAAGGAGCUCUAUACAUGCGGCAAGGUGACCAAUCUUGUGGCAGUCAUAGCACAAUCUAUCCUUAUGGUGCAUUUCGACGACACUUGUUUUGACACAUAUUGUGAUCGCAUAUUCGACGAGAAGUUGGCAAUGUGACACAAAUCGAGAUUCAGAGAAUUUACACACACCAGUACAACACAGAAGACUAUCUAUGUCAAAUAUGCUGGCCUUCACAAGAUUACUGGUUCUCAAUGAUGGCGUGCGAUCAGGUGACAAAGGUAGGAGUAAUACUUGACCAAAAUGAAAACUUUGAAAAAAUAUGAAAAGUACCAUUGGUUUCAUUUGGCAGUUUAUGACAACGUUUCCUGCCCGUCAUUACAAUGCUGAGUAAUUUACUUCA